UACGUAGGGGGCAAGCGUUGUCCGGAUUUAUUGGGCGUAAAGAGCGUGUAGGCGGCUUGGUAGGUCCGCUGUGAAAACUCGAGGCUCAACCUCGAGAUGUCGGCGGAAACCACUUGGCUAGAGUCCGGAAGAGGAGAGUGGAAUUCCCGGUGUAGCGGUGAAAUGCGCAGAUAUCGGGAAGAACACCUAUGGCGAAGGCAGCUCUCGUGGGACGGUACUGACGCUGAGACGCGAAAGCGUGGGGAGCGAACAGG
rnacentral:rRNA from 1 species